rnacentral:rRNA from 1 species
UACGUAGGUGGCGAGCGUUGUCCGGAUUUACUGGGCGUAAAGGGAGCGUAGGCGGACUUUUAAGUGAGAUGUGAAAUACCCGGGCUCAACUUGGGUGCUGCAUUUCAAACUGGAAGUCUAGAGUGCAGGAGAGGAGAAUGGAAUUCCUAGUGUAGCGGUGAAAUGCGUAGAGAUUAGGAAGAACACCAGUGGCGAAGGCGAUUCUCUGGUCUGUAACUGACGCUGAGGCUCGAAAGCGUGGGGAGCAAACAGGAUUAGAUACCCGU